UCACCGCUUGCGCGGGCAGUUUCAUUAGAGUCCCCAACUUAAUGCUGGCAACACUUCACGGGGGUUGCGCUCGUUGCGGGACUUAACCCAACAUCUCACGACACGAGCUGACGACAGCCAUGCAGCAUCUGUGGUGCACCCUCGAAGGUCACACGUUUCCGUGCGCUUGCAGCACCAUGUCAAGUCCAGGUAAGGUUCUUCGCGUUGCACCGAAUUAAAGAACAUGCUCCGCUGCUUGUGCGGGCCCCCGUCAAUUCUUUUGAGUUUUAGCCUUGCGGCCGUACUCCCCAGGCGGAACACUUAUCGCGUUGGCUGCGGCACAGACAGAUUCGACUCCGCCCACACCUAGUGUUCAUCGUUUACAGCGUGGACUAC
rnacentral:misc_RNA from 1 species